rnacentral:rRNA from 1 species
AUUGAACGCUGGCGGCAGGCCUAACACAUGCAAGUCGAACGAGUGGCGGACGGGUGAGUAAUGUCUGGGAAACUGCCUGAUGGAGGGGGAUAACUACUGGAAACGGUAGCUAAUACCGCAUACCAUCAGAUGUGCCCAGGGGGGAUUCGCGUGUUGGUGGGGUAACGGCUCACCAGGGCGGCGAUCCCUAGCUGGUCUGGGAGGAUGACCAGCCACACGGGAACUGAGAAACGGUCCAGAAUCCUACGGUAGGAAGCAGUGGGGAAUAUUGCACAAGGGGCGCAAGCCUGAUGCAGCCAUGACGCGUGGAUGAAGAAGGCCUUCGGGUUGUAAAGUACUUUCAGCGGGGAGGCGUUACCCGCAGAAGAAGCACCGGCUAACUCCGUGCCAGCAGCCGCGGUAAUUC